CAGUUAAGCUAAGGGCGUGUUCAGAUUGUGGAGGAAAAGUGGCCGCCAUUUUAGACUUGCCGCAUAACUCGGCUUAGGGCUAGUCGUUUGUGCUAAGUUAAACUAGGGAGGCAAGAUGGAUGAUAGCAGGUCAGGCAGAGGAAGUCAUGUGCAUUGCAUGAGCUAAACCUAUCUGAAUGAAUUGAUUUGGGGCUUGUUAGGAGCUUUGCGUGAUUGUUGUAUCGGGAGGCAGUAAGAAUCAUCUUUUAUCAGUACAAGGGACUAGUUAAAAAUGGAAGGUUAGGAAAGACUAAGGUGCAGGGCUUAAAAUGGCGAUUUUGACAUUGCGGCAUUGCUCAGCAUGGCGGGCUGUGCUUUGUUAGGUUGUCCAAAAUGGCGGAUCCAGUUCUGUCGCAGUGUUCAAGUGGCGGGAAGGCCACAUCAUGAUGGGCGAGGCUUUGUUAAGUGGUUAGCAUGGUGGUGGACAUGUGCGGUCACACAGGAAAAGAUGGCGGCUGAAGGUCUUGCCGCAGUGUAAAACAUGGCGGGCCUCUUUGUCUUUGCUGUGUGCUUUUCGUGUUGGGUUUUGCCGCAGGGACAAUAUGGCAGGCGUUGUCAUAUGUAUAUCAUGGCUUUUGUCACGUGGACAUCAUGGCGGGCUUGCCGCAUUGUUAAAGAUGGCGGGUUUUGCCGCCUAGUGCCACGCAGAGCGGGAGAAAAGGUGGGAUGGACAGUGCUGGAUUGCUGCAUAACCCAACCAAUUAGAAAUGGGGGUGGAAUUGAUCACAGCCAAUUAGAGCAGAAGAUGGAAUUAGACUGAUGACACACUGUCCAGCUACUCAGCGAAGACCUGGGUGAAUUAGCAUGGCACUUCGCAGCUGUCUUUAGCCAGUCAGGAGAAAGAAGUGGAGGGGCCACGUGUAUGUCUCCCAGUGGGCGGUACACCAGGUGUUUUCAAGGUCUUUUCAAGGACAUUUAGCCUUUCCACCUCUGUCCCCUCUUAUUUGUCCCCUCCUGUCCAGUGCUGCCUCUUGCAGUGCUGGAUAUCUGGCUGUGUGGUCUGAACCUCCCUCCAUUCCUCUGUAUUGGUGCCUCACCUAAGGCUAAGUAUACCUCCCCCCCCACCCCCCAACCCCCCCAACUCCCCACCCCCACCCCCCACCCCCCACCUCCCCACCCCCCUACCCCCCUACCCCCCUACCCCCCUCUGGUCUGCCCUGCACUGCACUGUUGCCAUGGGCAGUGCUCCAGGCCUGCUUGGUGUGGACAUGGUGGUGAGCCGUGGCAAGGACCAGAAUGGAUCACAGAUGAUCGUUGGCCAACAGGUGGCAGAAGAGGAAUUCCUGCCUUCCUCAAGAGGAACACCUACCCCUUGGCUAAUGCUGGGGAUGUCAAAAGAUCGGCCCAGCUCAGGGAGCAGUUUGCCCUACUAGCUCCUCGGACAGCUGUAAAGAAGAGUCUCUGGCUCUUUAGAAUACUGAUCCCAUUGAAGAUACCACGCUGCAUGUGUCCUUAGUAGUCAUGUCUCCUUAGGCUCCUCUUGGACAUUCUGAGCAUGUGAGACCUGAGGACUGCAAACAGCUAUAAGAGGCUCCAAAUUAAUCAUAUCUUUCCCUUUGAGAAUCUGGCCAAGCUCCAGCUAAUCUACUUGGAUGGGUUGCCAGCUAUCUGGAGAAAAAGGUGGAGAUGGGGCAUGAGGAUCCUCCAGGGGAAAAGCUCACUACCACUGGGCAACAACCCUAGGUCAGGAGGUUCUGUCAAGAUACUUUCCUGGUCCCAGAUAGGAAGAUAAAGUCUCAAAAACAACCACCACACGUCAAGCUCUUCAUUGUUCCUAUCUGCCAAAUCAUUAUACUUCCUACAAGCAGUGCAGAGAGCUGAGUCUUCAGCAGGUCCAAGAAAUUUGAACACACUGAAGGAAGUCAGCCUUCCCACCUGAAGAUCAACAUGCCUGGCACUCUAGCACUUGAGGAUAGCUGAAUGAAUGUGUAUUUCUUUGUCUCUUUCUUUCUUGUCUUUGCUCUUUGUUCUCUAUCUAAAGUGUGUCUUACCCAUUUCCAUGUUUCUCUUGCUAAUUUCUUUCGUGUGUGCCUUUGCCUCAUUUUCUCUUUUUGUUCACAAGAGUGGUCUGUGUCUUGUCUUAGACAUAUCUCUCAUUUUUCAUUUUGUUGCUAUUUCUCUUUGCUCUCCUAGAUGUGGCUCUUCUUUCACGCUUUAUUUCAUGUCUCCUUUUUGGGUCACAUGCUGUGUGCUUUUUGUCCUUUUCUUGUUCUGUCUACCUCUCCUUUCUCUGCCUACCUCUCUUUUCUCUUUGUGAACUGUGAUUAUUUGUUACCCCUUCCCCUUCUCGUUCGUUUUAAAUUUCACCUUUUUUCUGAGUCUGGCCUCCUUUCUGCUGUUUCUACUUUUUAUCUCACAUUUCUCAUUUCUGCAUUUCCUUUCUGCCUCUCUUGGGCUAUUCUCUCUCUCCUCCCCUGCGUGCCUCAGCAUCUCUUGCUGUUUGUGAUUUUCUAUUUCAGUAUUAAUCUCUGUUGGCUUGUAUUUGUUCUCUGCUUCUUCCCUUUCUACUCACCUUUGAGUAUUUCAGCCUCUUCAUGAAUCUAUCUCCCUCUCUUUGAUUUCAUGUAAUCUCUCCUUAAAUAUUUCUUUGCAUAUGUGGGCAAGUGUACGUGUGUGUGUGUCAUGUGUGGCAGAGGGGCUUCCUAACCCCUGCCUGAUAGGUGCAGAACGUCGGCUAUCAGAGCAAGCAUUGUGGAGCGGUUCCUUAUGCCAGGCUGCCAUGUGAGAUGAUCCAAGACCAAAACAAGGCCCUAGACUGCAGUAAAACCCAGAACUCAAGUAGGGCAGAAGGUGGAAGGCUCAUAUGGAUAGAAGGCCCAAAGUAUAAGACAGAUGGUUUGAGACUUGAGACCCGAGGACUAAGAUGGAAAGCCCAUGUUCCAAGAUAGAUAGAAGCCUCAGGCCUGAAACCAACAAAAGCCUCAAGAGCCAAGAAAACAGAGGGUGGCCUGAAUUGGACCGAAGGCCUGAGUUGGAUGGAAGUCUCAAGGCUUGAGUUAGAAGUCUUAAGACCUGGGACAGGACACAUGGAAGGCCUAAGAACUGAGACUUGUGACACAAGGCCAACGACCUAAGAUUAGCCCAGGGUUGUAGCUGGAAGACCUACAACCCAAGGAUGGAAGGCCCCUGUCACAAAGCCUACCUAGAUGGAUAGAGGACCCAAGCGAAAAAGGUAUCUCAAGACUAACGGCCGGAAUCUGGAGGCCCAUGACCCAGAACCCAGGAAGGAUAGAAGCUUGAAGACCUGGGGAAAUCCCAAGAUGAGAACCCUAAACCCUACCUCUUUUCUAUUGUUUACACUUCUUACUCUUAGAUAUUUCCAGUUCUCCUGUUUAUCUUUAAGCCUGAUUCUUUUGAGAUGUACUUUUUGAUGUUGCCGGUUACCUUUAGAUUGACAGUAUUAUGCCUGGGCCAGUCUUGAGCCAGCUUUAAAUCACAGCUUUUACCUAUUUGUUAGGCUAUAGUGUUUUGUAAACUUCUGUUUCUAUUCACAUCUUCUCCACUUGAGAGAGACACCAAAAUCCAGUCAGUAUCUAAUCUGGCUUUUGUUAACUUCCCUCAGGAGCAGACAUUCAUAUAGGUGAUACUGUAUUUCAGUCCUUUCUUUUGACCCCAGAAGCCCUAGACUGAGAAGAUAAAAUGGUCAGGUUGUUGGGGAAAAAAAAGUGCCAGGCUCUCUAGAGAAAAAUGUGAAGAGAUGCUCCAGGCCAAUGAGAAGAAUUAGACAAGAAAUACACAGAUGUGCCAGACUUCUGAGAAGCACCUGCCAGCAACAGCUUCCUUCUUUGAGCUUAGUUUCUGGCAUCACUACCACUACUGAUUAAACAAGAAUAAGAGAACAUUUUAUCAUCAUCUGCUUUAUUCACAUAAAUGAAGUUGUGAUGAAUAAAUCUGCUUUUAUGCAGACACAAGGAAUUAAGUGGCUUCGUCAUU
rnacentral:lncRNA from 1 species